rnacentral:tRNA from 1 species
CGGGGCGUGGCGCAGCUUGGUAGCGCAUCUGCUUUGGGAGCAGAGGGUCGCAGGUUCAAAUCCUGUCGCCCCGACAA